UGGCACUACUCAUAACCUUUUAGGUUGUAGCUAAUGGGUUCCAUUCUAGUGCCACAGCAGUUCCAAUAAUACAUGGCUGACUGACGCUAGUGUCUUUCAGUUUCAGGAACUGGAGACAAAU
rnacentral:snoRNA from 1 species